UUUUGCUGUUGAGAAGAAGCUUCUCUGGAGUUUACUUUUCCACACUAAGUGUGCCACUCUGCCAAAUGGCUUCUUCAGAUUGAGCUUUUCUUCUCUGUGUCACCAUUUGUUGCUGCUAUCUGCUGAGAGAGCUACAGGUGGGACACUUACAGAGACACUUAUGAAGGAGCUUUUCACCCAGAACUUACUUUUGCAUUUUAUUUCUUAUUGAGACUUAGCAUUUCAAGCAGAGAACCCUGUACAAUGCAAAACUGAGAAGAGACAUUCCUUUGUUUCUGCUGAACAGCACCCUUGUGGCUUCUCUUGCUGCAAGACCUCUGCAAAGAGCUGCUAUAAAGGGAUAGCCUGAAAACUGUGUACAGUUUACAAAUAAUAUCAGUAUGUUUAAAGAGUGCUGGUCUGUCUGACUGAAAUUUUAGUUCAUAUAUUCAUUGUAUGUUUUUAGCUCUAUAGCAGAAGUCUUUGCUCAGCUAGGAAGGGAAAGAACUGUAGCAAACUGGAAAUACUUUAAAUUUUCUGAUAUAAUAUCUUUAAUUUUAGUUCACAGCAAAUCUUCUGCUUAGCUGAAGAUCAAUCAGGUACUAAACACUAAAUACACAGCUACUGCUUGUGAACACCAAGGGUCUUUAUUUUCUAAAGACACUUCCAUCAGAUUGUAGAAAAUGGCUUUUUCCAAUUUAAUAUUACCUUUUUUUAAUUCUGAUAGAAGUAUCCAACAUGUAUUCACUUAGAAACUGCUCUUCCAUUUAUGACAAUUGAAGCAGUAACUGCAGGUGUCUGAUACUCUGUUACAUGUUUAUAAAUUAUUGUUACAAAUUUGCAGAAGUCAAAUUCUAAUCUAACCAUUGUCAAAUUCUUAACCACAAAAGGUUCAGUAAGAUUAUGCAAAAUCUUUUGGGUUAAAGCUGAAAUACAUUCAAAACUUUAAAAAAUGCUAGUCUCUGCAGUGAAAAAUAAAUUUUAGUACCAUAAGGCUUUAUUGUGCUAA